rnacentral:lncRNA from 1 species
UAAUAUUCUCUUCUCAUCUAAAUCCCCUCGAAUGUAACUCGAGGUUUCUUUAUGUCAUGUAAUAAUCUGUAAUUGAUGAAGAUGUCAAGAUGGAGAACACAAUGGAAAGAUGAUGAUGGAGAGGAGGCGCAUGCUAGAGGAAGAUCCAAGGAAGCUAUUUAUUUUAAGAUCUUUUACCACCUUAGAUUGACCUUCAAUCUUUCAUUAGCUUGAAAAGAUUGACAGUGGAUUGGGCCAUAACUGUGACACAUUUAAUUUUGCACUUUAUUUAUGCUUGUAUGUGAUAUGAUAUGAUUAAUAAUGUGCAUGCUUAA